CGGACGGGUGAGUAAUGUAUGGGGAUCUGCCUGAUGGCGGGGGAUAACUACUGGAAACGGUAGCUAAUACCGCAUAAUGUCUGCGGACCAAAGCGGGGGACCUCCGGGCCCCGCGCCAUCAGAUGAACCCAUAUGGGAUUAGCUUGUAGGUAAGGUAACGGCUUACCUAGGCGACGAUCCCUAGCUGGUCUGAGAGGAUGAUCAGCCACACUGGGACUGAGACACGGCCCAG
rnacentral:rRNA from 1 species